UCUUAUGGAACAAGGAAACAAGAUUUUUAGUUUCCUAUAUGGAUUUUAAUGGAAUCCUAUCUGAUUUGGUAAAGACUAUAUAUGUAUAUUUAGUGGCCUCUCCCCUCACAGAACACACGCUCAUCUUAGGACUUAAUCUCUACUUACACGUGUGGAGAAAGGAGGAUAACAGAGAGAGAAACGCCUAACCCUAACUCCUGCAUUUUCUUUGUCUCGCUCUCCCUAUCUUUCUCCUGUAUCCUCCUUCUCAAACAAAGCCAUGUUGGAAUUCCGAUAUCCUAUCGGAUCAGGAUCAGGAUCCGGAUCCGUCAAGGGGUGGCAUGCGGCGGAACUGGCGAAGUUCAAACCGUUCGACGACCGUGAGGACAACGACCACGAUAUCCAGAAUACUAAAGACAAAGAGGAAUAUAUCUAAAGAGAAACAAACAAAGAGGAGGAAGAUUUACAAAAGGGUGUUCGAGACUCAAUGACUCGACUGACUCAACUGGAACUCAAUGACAAAGAAGAAGAAGAAGAAGAAGAAGAAGAAGGAUUCAAAGGAUUUUAUGUUGGCUCUGAAAUUUGCUGUACAGAAGGUAACCACAUGGCACUGGUAAUUGUCCGUACUGGGAUUUGUUCCAGCGGGCGUUACUGUGAGCAGCAAAUAUGAUAUAGGUUGUAAGUUCUGUGGUCAUCUUGCUGGUUACCACGGGGGUGAGUACGGAAAGGACUAUAAAGCUCGUGUUGUUACGAAAGAAUGCUACUGAUGUUGGAAGCAAGGGCAUUGGGAUGAAGAAUGCGCGGGAUAUAUCAAGUCAGAACGCGGCGAUUGGUUUUUAAAGCUGUUGGCAAAGAGAUGUUCUAUUCGGUUGGCAAAUGUGCAGUAAUAAAACAUGUGAAGCGCAAAUGCAAGGCAGAGUUUUUGUCUAUGGGACCAGACGUGCCUCAUAAAGAUCAGUGGUUGAGGGAUGUGGUGUCAUUACUUUGACAGCCCUUCCUUUUUGUUUUUGUAUAUUUAAUUUUGAGAAGAUUACAAAUUUUAACUCCA